rnacentral:rRNA from 1 species
UACAGAGGGGGCAAGCGUUGUUCGGAAUUACUGGGCGUAAAGGGCGCGUAGGCGGCCUGUUAAGUCGAACGUGAAAUCCCCGGGCUCAACCCGGGAACUGCGUCCGAUACUGGCAGGCUUGAAUCCGGGAGAGGGAUGCGGAAUUCCAGGUGUAGCGGUGAAAUGCGUAGAUAUCGGGAGGAACACCCGUAGCGAAGGCGGCACUCUGGGCCGUGACUGACGCUGAGGAGCGAAAGCGUGGGGAGCAAACAGG